ensembl:lncRNA
CAGCCUUCUGGAUGCAGCAGUUGUGGCCGUAAGCUCUUCCAUUCCUGAAAUAGCUGCCCAUCCAUCCAGCCUCCUGCAGCAGCUCUUCACUGGAUCCAGAUAAGGUUGCAGUCUGGCUAUUUCUCCCUCCCUACCCUGCCUUCCCUUCCAAGACUGACCAGCAGCUCCUCUAUCGACACCAACAGCAAGUGCUGCAUUUCUGCAGUUGCUUACCUCACUGUGACAUGAAAACCUCAGUGAGGGCUGGUGUUCAGAACAAGGUGAACUUGAAGAAAAAUUUCUGUACUGUUUUAAAAGAAACCUUAUGUAUCUUGUCGUCUCUGGCCAUUUAUCUCCCGGCACUGUGUCACAUCUGUACUUUUCUUCAUCUUGAGAUGCUGAGUCCUGCCCCGUUGAUUGAGUGGGUUAGAGCUGAGUUGUAGCACCAGAAAAUGGUACAGAUAAACAGUGGCUUGAGGAAGUACUGCCAUUUAGUAACAGAAGUUGUUCUCUAGAACUAGGAUGCUAUCAUAAAUGAACAGUAUGUGAAAUACAAUGGAAUUUACUGAUCUCACUAGAAAUAUUUGGAAAUCCUGUUGCCUGAUUUUUUUCUACACCACCCAAGGAAUAAGUAAGCAACCCCCACGCUCAGGGAGGCUAUCAAAGUUGUGACCAAAGAGGAUGAAGGCACCAGUGAGGCAAAAUGAAGAAGGGCUCAUCACUCAUGGACAACAGCUACAAGAAUUCGGCAUGGAGGAGGUUCCUAUGAGCUCUACAGUGUUCAUUUAGGUGCUAACUCCUUUCUUCUUCAGCCAUACCAAUAAUCAAAGACAGAAAGACUAAAAACCAUCACCAGAAGAGUGAAGUCUCUGUUGAACAAACAACCUCUUCUAACUGAAUCUUGGCCUGGUCUGAAAACACCAUGAAGCCCCUGAUACUGGGAGCAUUUGUUCACAACUGAACAAACAGGCCUAGUGUUUGCAGCAAGGCACUAGCAGAAGGCUGAAGCAAAACCCCAAGGUCCCUGACUUAAAGGAGUAGGGAAGGUCACUUGUUAGAAAGAAAGUCCGGAGCUGAACUUCUCAGUGGCCUCCCUUGGUCAAGCACCACCCAUCAGUUCACAGGGAUCCCUCUCUGGACCUGUGGAUACUUAGAAAAGACUCAGAAGAUAUAAGCGGGUGGAGAAUCAAGCCUCUAGACAAGUGGCUUGUGAUAUCCACACUGGAGCUAAACAGCCUCAGAGGACGAUAUUGAAAAUCUUGUUUGAGAAGCAAGUGAUGGGAAAAGAUGAAGAAUAAAAAGCCAUCAGACAAGAGAAGAGUGUUCUUGUUCCAGGACAGAAUCAAAACUCUGCCCUGGGAGUUACAUAGGCAUUGUUUCAGAAGUUAACACAUCAGUGUUUAUGGAUGAAAACAACUGAGAUACAACGUGAGUCAAGCAUGCCUGAGCUUGCUAAUCAAAUAAGGACACUGCAAUUAUAUGACAUCAGUAAGAAAGUGGUGAACAUAUGCCAUAUCAAGUGUAUGGCAAGGUAGAAGGAAUGCUGCAAAGUGCAGAGCUGACAUGGAGGUUCCCAGAGUGCCGGAAAAUCUCAAUCUCCCUGCUGUCAAUGUGGUGGGACCUGAUGGGGAGAUGAAGAGCUAUCAAAAGUUGUUCCCACAGAGAAGUGACUCCAAAGCUGCCCAUAAACAGAAAUGCUGUCCUUGUGGGACGGCAGCAACACGUAUCUAUCAGAGACUACGUUUUUGCCUGUCCUCAUUAUUCUGAGGAUUACACAAGAAAUAUGCCCCACCAUUAUGUCCAAGCAGAAACGUUAUGCUCAGCAGGUAGCUCAUGUACUGUAAAGCCCUUUCCCCAGCUCCAUUAAGAGGUCUUGUUUAUGUCUGGCCUCGUGCAAGACAAAAGUAUUGCUGUGCUUUCUGGCCAUAUUUUUGCAGUGGAGGACUUGACAAGUGUCAAAUUGGAAAGAAAUUUCAUUGCUGUCAUUGCUACUUACCGAUGCCAUUGCAGUGGCUCUCAGUAGAGCAGCUGAGGCUGGAGAGGAGGUGGCAAAGCAGCUGUGCUUUCCUCCUUUGACCAUCUCAUCCGAGAAGUGGGAAGUGGCAAGAUGUCCCCUUGGUGCCUGUCUUGGUUCCAGGGAGCUCUGCAUCCUGCAUACUUCUCACUCUCUGAACUUCAGAUGCACUCAUCAGCGCUCAUUGGGUUGUGACAGAGUUUGCUGCUGCUACUUUAGUAAUCUCUGAUACUUUUGGCUGAGACAAGCAACACCACAGAUGUAUGCUGCUCUAACAGUGCACCCGUUUACAUCCUGAACCCAUAGCCCACAUAUUCACUGUGGCAGAGCUUUGCACAGUGGGACACUGCCUGUCCUGCCCUGAGGGAAAGGCGGCAUUCCCUUUUCCUGCAAUGCCCACGUGCUGCAGGAGGCUGGUGCCACCUGGACGCCUUCCUCUCUAUCUGCCCUCUGCCCCGGUGCGGGGAGGGUGGGGGCACCCGGGAAAGGAGGCUGACGUGGCUCUCUUGGGAAGCGGCAGCUCCAGGAGCAUGCUAGCACGGCUGCCAGCAGCUGUCGGAAGCCUCAGCAGUGCACUCUAUUGCUUUAUUAUUUCUUCUUUGCUAAUUAUUUCCUAAGAUGGGUGGGGGAAGGAAAGCAGGAGAGCGCGAGAGCAGCAGCAGUGUGUGCUUGCUGGCAGGGCACAGCAAAGGCACUCGAACCAACUCUAGCACAAGCAAAGCAGCAGGAGGGCUGUGAGAUGGGGCCGGACUGUUUCUGCUCUGACAAAAGCAGCCAGCAUCGGCAUAAAUGUGUUUUUAUUGAGCUGGUUCAAAGUGUCCUGCAUAGCAGCAGGCAUAGAAAAUACUGCCUGCACGAGCUGGUAAGCACCCUGGAUGAGUGCUGUGUAGGUUGUACAGACAACCUGUACACACACAAGGGAAAGUAUGGAAUGUCACAGCAGAGAGGGCCCACACCAACAAAAUUCAUCCACUGCUGCAUGAGUAUCAUGAGAUAAGCACACUGGCACGCUCACACAAGGCCCUGGUCACUGCCUGGUGCUGCGCCUGGGCCCAGGGGCAGGCUGCCAUGCUGGUAGCUGGCCCCCUUGCCCCCACCCCAUCUUAGGAAGGAGGGGACAAUCUCCUUUCCAAGGACGCACGGGCUGGGAGGCAGGGGAGCUGCAAGUGGCAACAACCUCUCUUGGAGAGGGUUCGUGGCAGAGAGAAAGCUUCUCUGCCUUGGUGGGCUCUGGGCAGGGCACAGUGACCGCAGUGCGGUGGCUAUGGAAAGCAGCUGCCUGUUGCUGUCUGAGCCGAUGGCGGGAAGCUACCUGCUGAGAUGCUCCGCUCUCUGUCUGUUUUCUGUUUUGUAAUAAGCCUGUGGUAGCCUGACACAAUUAUUACUGUUUCUUGUUUUUCACUCACUCUUGGAAAAACUGCUGUAAGGAGCUGCUGAUUAUCUAUACUUGAUUACUCAGGCCUGACAGAGGAUGGGUUGCAGCAUGAAUGCCAGAGGUAGCUUGGAGGCACUCUGGGGAGAUGCCACCUUAUUACUGCGAGGAGUGCUCUCCCAAAGACAACAGGCACACGAAAGUGAAGGAGGAAUAAAAGAGCUUGGAUAACAUCAGAAACAGCACCUUUGCGUCUGCCCAACCCUAAUCUGAGAGCAAAACAAACUUGUACUGAAACAUUUCUGAGGCAUGAAAGGACAUAAUUUUUUGUUGCCAUCAUGAUUGUGUUUCUCGGAAAUGAAAGGCUACCAUAGCUGAGUAAAUAGAUGAAAAUUGGCCUGUAACGUUUCCAGCAUGGUGGUGGAAAUCUAAGGCCAUGGAAAUCCCUGAGUUGUGAGUGCUCCUCCAGACUCUACAGAGCCUCCUUGGCUCCAGAGGCACAGGGGAUGGUCUGUGCUUGAUGGAGAGAGUUAUCCCAUACACCAUCACCACCACCCUUGCUGAUGGAAAUUUCAGUUUCGGGUCUUGGAGCACUUCCAGCAACUUCAGUGUUACAGUGGAGACCAUCCCCCUGUUCUUCCCAUAACAUAGGCAAGCUAUUUGCCUUAGCUGCUCCUCUACUUCAGCAAAGAAGCUCAAGGUUCAACAUCCUGAAGUUCAUGUAUUCAUUUACAAUUCCUUUUCAGUGGAGCACAGGCAAAAGGGCACUGAAAGUGAUGAGAAGGGACUUCUGCAUCUGGAAACUCUCACUACCCUCUUGUACAUCUAAGAAACUUGCAUAUCACUCUUAGACCUCAAAAUAGUAACUGGAUCCUUGAAGCCAUCUCUCAAAUGGUUAUUCACCAGGUUACUGAUGUGCGUGGCUCUUCCCUGCACACGGAGGCCGCUCUUGGUGGAAAUAAGAAGGGAGUCCAACCUUUGAGGGAUGUUUACUGCAGAAGAGUCCUUUUGGCAUCAGUGACUAGGGAGAUUUAAAUUUCCUGGCAUAGAAUACUCCCAAAUAUUUCUGGAAACUAUUGCAUAGAAGAGAGUGCAGCACUGAUUGAUUCAAGACAGCAGCAAGGCAGCACUCCCCAGCAGUACGCUCCUCCUUGCUGAAGCCCAUCCAGCAGGGCUGACUGCAAAGCUUUAUCACUGCGCAGUUCAAACACGUAAAGCCUGACUCUCUCUGGCCUUUCUAACAGAAAACAUGCACUAUGUACUAUGAAUAAUGCACCUUCUCCCAAAGUUGUUUUUAUGACUUUUUUUUUUUUUUUGCCUUCUUAUAUAAGCUGAGACCAACCUCAGGGGUAAGAAGCAAGGAAAACACUGAGUGAUGUAUUCAGGUUCUACACUGUCUUUGGCAGUCUUUUUACGAACUCAUUUUCCUUCAGGUGCAGAAAGGCUGGGAGGGCAUGUUUAGACUGGUAGCUCUCAAGUGCAGGAAGAGCCUAGCAGAAACAUGAGGGAGAGCCUAUUUUCUGUUAUUUUUUCCUUCCUUUCUUGUUUUUUCUUUUUCGUUUAAUAAUAUUUAUUUGCCUUGAAAGGAAUGACAGAUGAGAAUUUCUGUGAGCUGUGUUGCUUAUCUCGCCUUGCUGGCUUGUUUGUGUAUGUUUGUGUCUGCAUUUGUGUGAGCCUCACGCAGUCUGAAUUGUCUGACUCUUCUCCAUAUAUAUCGAGAUCCUGUUUAUGAGGACGGUACCAUAUUUGAGUCUUUUCAUCUCAAGGAAGCAGUUCACUGUCUGGUACUAAAAUAACCGCUGCAGGAAUCAGCCUGUAUUUUUAGGUUACAGGAUGAAUCAAGGACUGGCCUUACACAUUCCUAUGGCUUCUAAGCUUCCUAUUGCACCACAAAGCCUUGUUGAAAUGCUGGGAAAAAAACACACUUAGACCUAAACACCGCCCAAAGUGCCGCAAGGAGGCUGUGUUUGCUUCAUAUGAACACCCUUUUGUUUUCCUGUAGAGAAGCAGCCGUCAUCAAGAAUUAAUUAAUUUGGCAGAGCUCACCGGCUGGCUGUGGAUACUCUAUAGCAAUCUAGCAACACUUUGCAAAGGGGUCCAGGUAGAGAAGCCCAUCGUGCUCGUCUCUUUGUCACAGAAAUGCUCUUCUGUGUCCUGUCGAUGUGGCACUGAUGUCAGCCUGCUGAUGUAAAAACACUGCAAAGUGACUGCAAAGGAAAAGGACCAGAUGGCUGGUCUUGGGGUCCCUGGGGACUCCCACAUCAAAAAGGAGCUGCAGAGAAGAAAGCAGAAGGAGAUAAGUGUGAAAACAAGAAUACGCGACAGAAGAACCCACUGCUCGCAGUUUCUAGAUCUUCUUCCACAAAAGGGCUAAAUUCUCAGGCCUAGGUAUGUGUUCAGGCAGCUAAGAAUUCUGGCUGAAAGCAAGUAUGGAGUGGCCUCUGGCCUUGAGCAACAGCAUGUGCCUGCCCCAAAAAGCAGGAUAGCACUGGCACAGCGCUUACAUUGUUGCUGAAAUCCAAGGAGGUGAAGCAUAUGCUGCUUCACUGAACUGAGCCUGGAGGUAGGGAGGAUGAGCACUACACUCAUGAGCAAUAGCAGGAGCAGAACCCAGGUCUCCUGGACAAGCAUCAGCACCAUGCUUCACCAGGAGCUCCCCAGGGCAUCCUCCUGUUACCAAUUAGAACAGUGCUCACUGCGGUGGGUCCUGGGGCUCUGUGCUCUUUUGCAGCACAGGUCAUGCACAGUAGUACGCAGAGGAAGUGCUCUCGUGCCUGGCUGUUCCUGCAACAUCACUUCUUAACACGCUUUUUCGGGGAAGGGUUUGGAAGCCUGUUCAGCCUGUCAAUCUGCUGCUGUGUCAACAUGAGAAAGUUAAGUAAUUCCUC